GGUGGGUUAGUGUAACGGCCAACACACUUCCCUGUCACGGAAGAGAUUGCGGGUUCGAAUCCCGUACCUGCCGCCA
rnacentral:tRNA from 1 species